AGUGAACGCUGGCGGUAGGCCUAACACAUGCAAGUCGAACGGCAGCACAGUAAGAGCUUGCUCUUACGGGUGGCGAGUGGCGGACGGGUGAGGAAUACAUCGGAAUCUACUUUUUCGUGGGGGAUAACGUCGGGAAACUUACGCUAAUACCGCAUACGACCUACGGGUGAAAGCAGGGGAUCUUCGGACCUUGCGCGAUUGAAUGAGCCGAUGUCGGAUUAGCUAGUUGGCGGGGUAAAGGCCCACCAAGGCGACGAUCCGUAGCUGGUCUGAGAGGAUGAUCAGCCACACUGGAACUGAGACACGGUCCAGACUCCUACGGGAGGCAGCAGUGGGGAAUAUUGGACAAUGGGCGCAAGCCUGAUCCAGCCAUAACGCGUGGGUGAAGAAGGCCUUCGGGUUGUAAAGCCCUUUUGUUGGGAAAGAAAAGCAGCAGGUUAAUACCCCGCUGUUCUGACGGUACCCAAAGAAUAAGCACCGGCUAACUUCGUG
rnacentral:rRNA from 1 species